rnacentral:snRNA from 1 species
UUACCGAUUUGGCGGGGGCAUUCCCGCGGUCACAAAGGUGUUUUUUUCAGGGAGAGGCUCAUCCGUUGCACCAGGGAUGUGCUGAUGUUGGACGUCUUCCCAAAUGCGUGAUUUACGGUAGUGGGUGACUCGAGUUCUUGCUCUCUCC